AGUACCAUGGUCUACGACGUUGAUCUGUUUGUAGGAGCGGGGCCUUAUGAAAGCACUAUAUAAGUACCAUGAACGGGUAAAGUUUCAUCAAAAUAAUAAUGAAGUUUGCUGUCCUUCUUGUGUUCGCUACUCUUCUGGUUGCCUCCCACGCAGCACAUGAGGCGUGCGGAAAUGGUUGUGCUGCUGCCGGCUCUAACGGCCACUCCUUCUGCAUCGACCUCUGCACCAACUGUACCGGCAACGUCAACUGCAACCACCACCUGGACGAGUGUGAAUGCCACCCCCAUGGUCUGUGAGUCUGGUAUGAAGUCAAGCUGGAGAAGUCAAGACUGUAAAAUAUAUAACGAAUAAACAUACCAAUAACA
rnacentral:lncRNA from 1 species